AGAAAGAAAACAGGGGUUGACAGAGAGAGAUAGAAAAAGAAAAUGAGCAAGAGAGAGACUGGGAAAGACAGAGAUCAAAGAGAGACACAGAAGGUGAGACUGGGGAGAGAGAUAAUGUAAAAGGAAGAAAGAGUACAAGAGGAAGUGAGAGGAUGCAGAGAGGCUGGCAGGGCUGAGAAAAGGAUCUAGAGGCUCAAGCAACAAGGAGGUGCAGGGAAAGGGUGGAGCAUGGCCACUGAGGAGAGACAGAGCCAGAGAACUGGAGGAUGCAAGUGAGAAAGGGAUGUGGAGGAGAGUGUAGAAUCAGGCUGCUUGAGGAAUAGUAGGCUGCCUACAGCAAAGACUAGAUGGCUGUAUGUCAGGAGGUAAAUAGAGAGGAUUCAGGUUAUGAAAGGGUAAACCGAUAAGAUGACCGUUAAGGUUUUGUUGUUUUACUGAGAGGCUGUAAAUCCACCAGGGGAAGCUGUCACUAAGGCUGCAGAGGGGCUGGAGAGCUACACAGGGAAGAUCAGAACUACUGUUGUAAACAAUGCCGCUGGGUUAGGGUCUCCCCGACUGAGCUGGUAUCAGCAAAUGGCAUCCAUCAUGGGGACUCAAAUCCAGGUCAAAGGUUUGCCAGAGGGAUGGUUGGAGAACAUGGAACUAG
rnacentral:lncRNA from 1 species